rnacentral:sRNA from 1 species
UCAUGCUGGCAUCAUUCAUUCUCCACGCAUCAGAUGAUCCUGCGGCCCCUCAGUGCCAGGCCCCACUGGCCCUCUGCGCACAUCAGUGACUCUGAUGUUCUCCCCCCCCCGCAUGCUGCCAGUCUGAUGGUGGAGACAGAACAGCAGUCCCGGAUGGUGGAGGCAAUGCCCAGAGCUGUGGCAGCCACCUUGCAGCCGUGAAGCACCAGUGGGAAUGACAGUCAAGAGAACCAUGGAGAUGCCAGCCCCUGGACCCACAGCAGCAGCACCUGCUUCCAGACUGAGAGUGUGAGAAAAAAAUAAACCCCUAUUUGUUUAUGGCAAGAGACAAGGUCUAGCUCUGUGACGCAGGCCGGAGGACAGUGGUGUGAUCACAGCUCACUGCAGCCUUGAACUCCUGGGUUCCAGCAAUCCUCCCACCUCAGCCUCCUUAGUAGGCGUGGCUACAGGUGUGCACCACCAUGUCCAGCCCUAAAUUUCAUUCUUUUUAAUUUCAAUAUUGUUAUGUGUUUUCUAAUGUUUUAUAACUUAUUGGUAUGGUAGAUGUACAUGUAUACAAAUUAAAAUAAAAUUUAUAUAUAUUUUA